GUGUAACCAAGAUACUCAUAGGCCAGAAACAGCGUGCCGGGAGCCCGCCCGGAGAUUGAAAUCGGAGAUGGGAAGACUGCAUUUCUGGAAACCGAGGCUGAAGAAGCUGGAACUCAUCCAGAUCUGUAUUAUGAUAUUGGGAAAUGGAUAACGCCAUCUCCAGGAUCGAGAGAACUUCCGAAAUAGUGAAUCGCAUGGAUCCCGGUGACAGUAGGCAUUAAGGGCUACUGGACUGAAGCUGCUGGAAACUUGUUAGAAGAGGCUGCUAGGUCACCUGGAGCUGGAGCCACAGACAGUUAUGAGCAACCUGCCAUGGCACUGAGACUGGAACUCACUCAGGUCCUCUGGAAGAGCCUUUGACCAUGGAGCCACCUCAACCCCAGGAGGGGAAGAACUGGUGUACACUCAGGACCAAGAAUGACCAAGAAUGUGGAACCUUAAAGAAAGGUAAAGUGUGAAACCCUUUGCUAGCUCCCACAGCUCAGAACUCAGUGUUGACCACUGUUUCAAGUAAGAGGAUUGUCAACAUGUCAUUAACAUCCUCCUUCUGAUGUUUAAAUUUGACUUGUCAAAAGCAGCAUUACUGACAGGCAGUAGCUUAUUCAGGAGCCAGCAUUUCAGGACAUCACUGAGCACUGUGCUUGUAGUUCUGCGAUUGUUGCCUGCUAUUUUCUUAGAUAAGAAACUAUAACUAGGGCUGGUGAGAUGGCUCAGAGGGUAAGAGCACAGUCUGCUCUUCCGAAAGUCAUGAGUUCAAAUCCCAGCAACCACAUG